rnacentral:rRNA from 1 species
GACGAACGCUGGCGGCGUGCUUAACACAUGCAAGUCGAACGAGGUCCAUCGGAAAGCUUGCUUUCCGGGAAGACCGAGUGGCGAACGGGUGAGUAACGCGUGGGCAACCUGCCCUGGAGAUUGGGAUAACCGGUGGAAACACCAGCUAAUACCAAAUACCGUUCUUUAAUCUCAUGAUUGAAGAACGAAAUGUUCCGGCGCUCCAGGGUGGGCCCGCGUCCCAUUAGCUUGUUGGUAGGGUAAUGGCCUACCAAGGCGACGAUGGGUAGCCGGCCUGAGAGGGUGAACGGCCACACUGGGACUGAGACACGGCCCAGACUCCUACGGGAGGCAGCAGUGGGGAAUAUUGCGCAAUGGGCGAAAGCCUGACGCAGCAACGCCGCGUGGAGGAUGAAGGUUUUCGGAUUGUAAACUCCUUUCAGCAGGGACGAAGCCGCAAGGUGACGGUACCUGCAGAAGAAGCCCCGGCUAACUACGUGCCAGCAGCCGCGGUAAUACGUAGGGGGCAAGCGUUGUCCGGAAUUAUUGGGCGUAAAGCGCGCGCAGGCGGCCCGCCAAGUCAGAUGUGAAAUCCCUCGGCUCAACCGAGGACCUGCAUUUGAAACUGGUAGGCUAGAGUACAGGAGAGGGAAAUGGAAUUCCUAGUGUAGCGGUGAAAUGCGCAGAUAUUAGGAAGAACACCGGUGGCGAAGGCGGUUUCCUGGACUGUUACUGACGCUGAGGUGCGAAAGCUAGGGGAGCAAACAGGAUUAGAUACCCUGGUAGUCCUAGCCGUAAACGAUGGUCACUAGGUGUAGGGGGUUAUCAACUCCCCCUGUGCCGAAGCUAACGCAUUAAGUGACCCGCCUGGGGAGUACGGCCGCAAGGCUAAAACUCAAAGGAAUUGACGGGGGCCCGCACAAGCGGCGGAGCAUGUGGCUUAAUUCGACGCAACGCGAAGAACCUUACCUGGACUUGACAUAUAAGCGAAAGCUGUGGAAACAUGGCCCCCCUUUCGGGCGCUUAUACAGGUGGUGCAUGGUUGUCGUCAGCUCGUGUCGUGAGAUGUUGGGUUAAGUCCCGCAACGAGCGCAACCCCUAUCCUAUGUUGCCAGCAUUCAGUUGGGGACUCAUGGGAGACUGCCGGUGUCAAACCGGAGGAAGGUGGGGACGACGUCAAAUCAUCAUGCCCCUUAUGUCCAGGGCUGCACACGUGCUACAAUGGCCGGUACAAUGGGCAGCGACGGAGCGAUCCUGAGCGAAUCCCUUAAAACCGGUCCCAGUUCGGAUCGGAGGCUGAAACUCGCCUCCAUGAAGUCGGAGUCGCUAGUAAUCGCGGAUCAGCAUGCCGCGGUGAAUGCGUUCCCGGGCCUUGUACACACCGCCCGUCACACCACCCGAGUUGUUUGCACCCGAAGUCACUGGCCCAACCCGCAAGGGAGGGAGGUGCCGAAGGUGUGAAGAGUAAGGGGGGUG